rnacentral:rRNA from 1 species
CACGAAAGUUCUUCUGUUUUAAAAAAACACUCAAGGAAAUUGAAUUUGUAGUGAAGAUGCYACAUUAAAAUUGUUAGACGAGAAGUCCCCAUGGAGCUUUACUGAAAGCCUAAAAAAAAUUUUUUAUUUAUUUAUAGGUUAGACAGUUUUGUUGGGGUGAUAGUUUUUUAAAAAGUAACGAAAACGAACUAUGACGCAUGUUUCACUCUGAAAACUUGAAGAGACAUUUGGGGUGUGUUUUAUGAUCUAUUGUUUUGAAUGAAAAARAUAAUGAAAGCA